CCUACGGUGGGCAGCAGUGGGGAAUAUUGCACAAUGGGGGAAACCCUGAUGCAGCGACGCCGCGUGCGUGAAGAAGUAUUUCGGUACGUAAAGCUCUAUCAGCAGGGAAGACAAUGACGGUACCUGACUAAGAAGCCCCGGCUAACUACCUGCCAGCAGCCGCGGUGAUACGUAGGUGGCACGCGUUAUCCGGAUUGACUGGGGGUAAAGGGGGCGUAGACGGCAGCGCAAGUCGGGAGUGAAAUCCCAUGGCUUAACCAUGGAACUGCUUUGGAAACUGUGCAGCUAGAGUGCAGGAGAGGUAAGCGGAAUUACUAGUGUAGCGGUGAAAUGCGUAGAUAUUAGGAGGAACACCAGUGGCGAAGGCGGCUUACUGGACUGUAACUGACGUUGAGGCUCGAAAGCGUGGCGAGCAAACAGGAUUAGAUACCCCUGUAGUC
rnacentral:rRNA from 1 species